rnacentral:misc_RNA from 1 species
GAUGAAGAACGCAGCGAAAUGCGAUAAGUAGUGUGAAUUGCAGAAUUCAGUGAAUCAUCGAAUCUUUGAACGCACAUUGCGCCCUUUGGUAUUCCAAAGGGCAUGCCUGUUCGAGCGUCAUUUGUACCCUCAAGCUUUGCUUGGUGUUGGGCGUCUUGUCUCUAGCUUUGCUGGAGACUCGCCUUAAAGUAAUUGGCAGCCGGCCUACUGGUUUCGGAGCGCAGCACAAGUCGCACUCUCUAUCAGCAAAGGUCUAGCAUCCAUUAAGCCUUUUUUUCAACUUUUGACCUCGGAUCAGGUAGGGAUACCCGCUGAACUUAAGCAUAUCAAUAAGCGAAGGA